rnacentral:lncRNA from 1 species
AUAUAUAUAUACUCGCACGCUUAUCAUCUUGAACUUUUUUAGUAACUCCAGGCUGUUUAUCGACAUCAGGAUGGUACUGAAAAAAUAAAAAAUAAAAAUCAAUACACUUGUGCAAAUCCAACAUGAAAGAAUGUACAGAUUAUAUUAUUAAACAUGCUGAAGAAUUCUAUAGAUAAAUAAAAGUAGAGAAUUGGUUAAUUUGUAUUAAAAAAAGGCAAGAUGGUAAAGAAAAUGGCAAUGAAGAAGCGAAGAAACCACAAUUUAUGGGGAAGAGAAAUGGUUGCAUGCCAGAAAAAUAAAUUGUCAUAUGAAAAAGAGAAACGGUCGCAUGGAAAAGAUAACUUUCAUAUGGAAAAGAGAAACAGUCACAUUGGAAAGAUAAAAUAUCAUAUGAAAUUAUGGCGAAGAGAAAUAGUUGCAUGGCCGGAAAAAUAAAUUGUCAUAUGGAAAAGAGAAACGGUCGCAUGGAGAAGAUAACUUACAUAUAGGAAAGAGAAACGGUCACAUUGGAAAGAUAAAAUGUCAUAUAAAAUAGAGAAACGGUUGAAGGAAGAGGAGAGGUCGGUUCAAAGAGAGCAAAAGAUAAAUGUCAUAUGAAAAAGAGAAACGGUUGAAGGAAGAGGAGAAGUUGGUUCAAAGAGAGCAAAAAAAUAUAAAAAAUCUAAAAAAAGGAGGGCUUGCCACGUCAUCAUUUUUAUUGGGGAUUCAUAUAGAGUUAUAGAUAGUAAAAAUAAUGCUAUAAUAAUUUAUUUUUAAAUUUUAAAUAGUUUAUUUUAAAAAGAAAUAUCAAGUGUUUCUGUGACCAAAAUUUCACAAACACUAAUGGAUUAGCGCUAUUAGAAGCAUUCCAGCCUAUUUAUAGAGAGAGAAAGAGAGAGUCCAGCUACUAUACUCUUGUGAGUACAAUCGACUUCAUACUCAUAAGUCAUUUUCGAUUGAUAGAGCUUUCGAAUCGAUGAUUCAUAUUAUUAAACAUUAUUAGAAUAUUUAAAACUUUUAGAAACUAAAUUUCAUGAUUUUUCGAUAUUAUUUACGUUACAAUCGAAAGAUCUCAAAGUUGACAACUUUUAAUAGUCAGUAUGCGAUCCUUGCUAGUUUAAGAGUAUAAAAAAAUUGAAAUCGGUUGAAUUUGAUAAAAAAUUAUAUUCACUAUCUAGAUAAAGAUUAACAACUCCGAUCUUAAAUUGAAGUAUCUGAUCUUUUAUUUUUAGAAAGUCGUUUGAUUUUGAUUGUUCAUUUUAUACCCGUUUGAUAGAAUUUAUUAU